UUCACCGCUAUAUAUUAUAAAAAUAAAUUUGAUGAUAAAAUUAAUUAUUUUAUCACUAUAUAUUAUAUUUAGUGGUGUUGCAGUUAUCAAUAGUUCCCCACGUCAUGCCAUUACUAAUGUUUAUUUUUUUUAUUAAGAGCCACGACUACUUCAAACAAUAAAAGAAAACACACUAUCACUAUAAAUAAUUACUAAAAUUAAAUCAUACUUUUAAUCUCUCUAACAAACCUCUCUCGAUCAAAGCACGGUAACAACUCCAUCUUCAUCCCCACAACCGAUCUAACCUUCUUCAUUCCGAACCUAAUUUUUUUAAUUUUUUAUUUAUAUCUUGUUUAAUAGAUUGAGAAUCAAUAGAUCUUUGGCUUUCCAUGCAAUAAAGAACAUAAUGGUUAUGAACAAUCAUUUUCUUUGGCAAAGUUUUAAAUAGAAAUAAGAUCCAGGUUGUUUGCCUUAUGGGAAAGUUUGUUUCAAUUUUAAGCAGAAGUAUUUGAAUGAUUUGCUAUUAAGAUGGAAGUGACUGAUUUGACAAAGAAAUAACAAUAAAAUGGACAUCUCUCCCGGAUAAAUUAAGUUUUAUUUUAUUGUUUGCAUAUCUUGUUGUUGUUUCCGCAGUUUAUUAUUUUUAGGAUAUUAAAGAUGAAUACAUUUAUGAUUGUAUGUAAGAAAUUUUAUUAAGUAUUUAUCUAUCAUUUUUCUUUUGGAUGUAAAA